AAGAACAUAAAUAUUCCCAAACCAAAGAACAAAGAGGAGAUUAGAAUUUAAUCCAUACAGAGCAAACAGAGUAGAUAAUAGCUCACUCUGUUUCCUCUGUUUUUUCCAUCCCCACCUUCCCUUUCAGUCUGUUUUUUCCAUGGACUUAAUCACCAAAUCCUCCUCAGCACCUACGAUGAUUUUAGUAGCCUGCUUGAACUGCUUCUCUUCUCUACUUAGAGAGACGGUUGAUGCUCAAGCUUCCAUGCUAAUCCAAUUCUCUUUCGAGUGAUCAUACAUAGAAUUUGUCAUCCCAAAAGAAAAGAAAUCAAAACCAAUUGUUGCCUUGGGCUUUC
rnacentral:lncRNA from 1 species